GGACGGGUGAGUAAUGUCUGGGAAACUGCCUGAUGGAGGGGGAUAACUACUGGAAACGGUAGCUAAUACCGCAUAACGUCGCAAGACCAAAGAGGGGGACCUUCGGGCCUCUUGCCAUCGGAUGUGCCCAGAUGGGAUUAGCUAGUAGGUGGGGUAACGGCUCACCUAGGCGACGAUCCCUAGCUGGUCUGAGAGGAUGACCAGCCACACUGGAACUGAGACACGGUCCAG
rnacentral:rRNA from 2 species